GCUGCGGUGAUGUUGCUGCUAUGACUUCAACCUAGAAACACUAGGUGAGGAUGAGGAAGGAGAUACAGGUGCGUCUCUGAGAUGGGCGAGGGAAGAAAUUUGAGUUACUGGGGCCAUCAGUAAUGAAGAAGGACAGAGGCAGUUGCUUCACUCGAGCUCUCCCUGGUGGACUUCACCGAACUGUGAGGCCGAGGGGGAAGAGGGAGGAAGGGGAGGAGCCGAGCUCGGAGCACACAGGCGGCAGAGCCGGGGCAAAGGAAAUGGUUGAAGUUGGUUGGACCCAUUCAAGCCCAAUACACUUCGUUCUUAGGCCCGGCCCAGAAGGAGGAUCUAUCAAGGGUUCGUCACGCCCAUGAACACCGAUUGAGAAACCUGGUAAGUAGCAGGGACGAUCUCCAUAAGGCAUCGAUCAAGCAUUCUCUAUCUUAGAAUGAGGUUUUAGUUGAAAGGAUUCUCGGGAUAACAGUUUACAAAUAGUUGGUCGGUACUCGGUCGUGAUCAUAUGCAGAGUUGCCCCAGAGUCAAGAAUAUGGAUAUUGCUUGGUGGUGGGCUGAGUUUGUAAUUUAACAUUGUUGACUGAUGGACUUUUUAUCAGGGGAUCAAAUUAGAUCUUCUUUUAAGUAAAGGGCCCUAAGGGACUUAAAUUAUCAAAGCAUCUCACGGUUCAGGGAGCAUACCAUUAUAUGAUAAAGAAAUUACAGAAAUUGAAGUUUGACUA